rnacentral:lncRNA from 1 species
AAGAUAUUACACCACAUGAUCCAACAAAUUGGCAUGGAUUAUAUAUAUUGAAGAUGAAAGCAUGGUUUCAUUCAAACUAAGGUUCACAAAGAUCAACAAACAGAGAACUUCAUAUGAAGACACGACGGCAUGUGUCAAUUGCUACCACCACCAAAGAGGUAUCCCAAAGAAGAUCCACCACCAGGAGCAGCAUGGACCUUGGUUGAAGGUCUUUCCGUGAUGAAGUUGAUACUCAGUAGAUCUAUAUCCAUGAUUAUGUUGACUUACUAAUGACCAUAUCAGCAAAUAUACAGACAAGACAACAACAUGUGUUUUAUGACACUACAGAAUUUACUUGUGAAUGAUAUGUUAUCUCAACGAAGAGUUUAAUUAAUUACUUGAAGUAUUUCACACAAAGCAAUCUGUUUUCUGAACAGAUCCGAGGCCCGCACCUAAAA